CAGGUCACGUGGAGCAAGAUCAGAAUCCCCAUAAGUCCUCUGUGGGUCAAUACGAGGAACUGUGAAAGUGAAGCCAAAGCUGUAAUGGAGACCCAGAAAGGUAGAGGUGCCAGGAACAUGGAAUGCCGGGUGAUGGAUUCAACAAGGCAUGAGAAACUUUCCAGAGAGAGAGAGGCUGUGGAUUCAUAGCUGAGUUGCCUUGAGUCUCAGAAGAGACUUUGGAGUUCAACCUUUGAGCAACACUGGAACAGUUAACACAAUGGAAAUUCUGGGAGAUUGUGCAUUGGAAGUAAUCACAUUUUGAAUUACUGACAGAAUCAAAGCUCUGUCAUCUAUCAGAACUACAUGAAUAUUAAAUCAGAAGCCCAGCGUGAUGGUGCAGGCCGGGAAUCCUAGCAAUCUGGGAGUCUGAGUGCUAUGUGAGGAUAAAAUGAAGAAGUCAUCACAUCCAAACCAAAAAGUUGGCUUCCACUGUACAUCACCUCUGUAGACACUUGAUUGUGGACUCCUAGCUUCCAGAUCUGUGAUAAACACGUCUUCAAAUAAUCUUCCAGAAAAGAUUUCAAACUCAUUACUCUUAAUCCUAACUUGGAAUCAACAUGCACAUAAGGUAUUCUCAAAAAAAUCAAGUAGUUCCAACACCAAAUUUCCCAGUGAGGAAAGGGAUGCAUUCCUCAGCACUGAGACAAGUAGAACUCUCAUGAAAUAAAAAUAUUA